UACGAAGGGGGCUAGCGUUGUUCGGAAUCACUGGGCGUAAAGCGCACGUAGGCGGACUUUUUAAGUCAGGGGGUGAAAAUCCCCGGGGGCUCAACCCCCGGAACUGCCUUUGAUACUGGAAGUCUUGAGUCCGAGAGAGGUGAGUGGAACUCCGAGUGUAGAGGUGAAAUUCGUAGAUAUUCGGAAGAACACCAGUGGCGAAGGCGGCUCACUGGCUCGGUACUGACGCUGAGGUGCGAAAGCGUGGGGAGCAAACAGGAUUAGAUACCCGGGUAGUCC
rnacentral:rRNA from 1 species